AAGUCGUAACAAGGUUUCCGUAGGUGAACCUGCGGAAGGAUCAUUAUUGAAUAAUCUUGACGUGGCUGUAGCUGACCCCUCGGGGUAUGUGCACGCUCGUCAUCUUUAUAUCUCCACCUGUGCACCUCUUGUAGACCUGGACAAACACUUUCUGAGGAAACUCAGUCGGGAGGACUGCUGUAUGUAAAUGCCAGCUUUCCUUGUAUGUUAUCCAAGUCUAUGUUUUAUAUACCCCAAAGAAUGUAACAGAAUGUAUUAUUGGGCCUUGUGCCUAUAAACUAUAUACAACUUUCAGCAACGGAUCUCUUGGCUCUC
rnacentral:misc_RNA from 1 species